GAUGAACGCUGACAGAAUGCUUAACGCAUGCAAGUCUUUGGCGAAGCUGUGCUCGCCCAGCCUAGCCAAGGCGGACGGGUGAGUAACGCGUAAGGAACUUGCCCUGCAGUCAGGGAUAACAGACGGAAACGACUGAUAAGACCUGGUAAAGUCAGGCGGACUCAUGUCCAGCCUGAUGAAAAGAGAUGCUGCAGGAGAGCCUUGCGUCCUAUUAGCUUGUUGGUGGGGUAACGGCCCACCAAGGCGAUGAUAGGUAGCCGGCCUGAGAGGGUGGACGGCCACAAGGGGACUGAGAUACGGCCCUUACUCCUACGGGAGGCAGCAGUGGGGAAUAUUGGACAAUGGGGGCAACCCUGAUCCAGCAAUUCUGUGUGCACGAUGAAGGUUUUCGGAUUGUAAAGUGCUUUCAGCAGGGAAGAAAAAAAUGACGGUACCUGCAGAAGAAGCGACGGCUAAAUACGUG
rnacentral:rRNA from 1 species